UCAAAGCCCACCAAGGCGACGAUCGAUAGCUGGUCUGAGAGGACGAUCAGCCACACUGGGAUUGAGAACGGCCCAAACACCAACGGGGGGCAGCAGUGAGGAAUUUUCGUCAAUGGGGGCAACCCUGAACGAGCAACGCCGCGUGCAGGAAGAAGGUUUUCGGAUCGUAAACUGCUUUUCUCUGGGACGAGCAAGGACGGUACCAGAGGAAUCAACCCCGGCUAACUACCUGCCAGCUGCCGCGGUAAUACGUAGGGGGCGAGCGUUGUCCGGAUUUAUUGGGCGUAAAGGGUCCGCAGGCGGUUUGGUAAGUUUGACGUGACAGUUCCUGGCUCAACUGGGAAAGUGCGUUGGAAACUGCCAGACUUGAGGGCUUCAGAGGGAUGCGGAAUUCCGGGUGGAGUGGUGAAAUG
rnacentral:rRNA from 1 species